rnacentral:sRNA from 1 species
UAAUGGAAAUAGAAAAGGGCAGUUGCUCAAACAACUACCCCAUGCAGAACCGUUUAAGACGGUGGCAUAUUUAAUUGUAAAAA